rnacentral:rRNA from 1 species
UACGUAGGGGGCAAGCGUUGUCGGGAUUUAUUGGGCGUAAAGAGCGUGUAGGCGGCCAGAUAGGUCAGCUGUGAAAACUCGAGGCUCAACUUCGGAACUGCCUCUGAUACAGCACGUCUUGAGUCCGGAAGAGGUGGGUGGAAUUCCUAGUGUAGAGGUGAAAUUCGUAGAUAUUAGGAAGAACACCGGUGGCGAAGGCGGCCCACUGGUCCGGUACUGACGCUGAGGUGCGAAAGCGUGGGGAGCAAACAGG